AUACGUAGGGUGCGAGCGUUAAUCGGAAUUACUGGGCGUAAAGCGCGCGUAGGCGGCUAAUUAAGUCAAAUGUGAAAUCCCCGAGCUUAACUUGGGAAUUGCAUUCGAUACUGGUUAGCUAGAGUGUGGGAGAGGAUGGUAGAAUUCCAGGUGUAGCGGUGAAAUGCGUAGAGAUCUGGAGGAAUACCGAUGGCGAAGGCAGCCAUCUGGCCUAACACUGACGCUGAGGUGCGAAAGCAUGGGGAGCAAACAGGAUUAGAAACCCCAGUAGUCC
rnacentral:rRNA from 1 species